UGUGGAAUAUUGGACAAUGGGCGAAAGCCUGAUCCAGCCAUGCCGCGUGUGUGAAGAAGGUCUUCGGAUUGUAAAGCACUUUAAGUUGGGAGGAAGGGCAGUAAGCGAAUACCUUGCUGUUUUGACGUUACCGACAGAAUAAGCACCGGCUAACUCUGUGCCAGCAGCCGCGGUAAUACAGAGGGUGCAAGCGUUAAUCGGAAUUACUGGGCGUAAAGCGCGCGUAGGUGGUUCGUUAAGUUGAAUGUGAAAGCCCCGGGCUCAACCUGGGAACUGCAUCCAAAACUGGCGAGCUAGAGUAGGGCAGAGGGUGGUGGAAUUUCCUGUGUAGCGGUGAAAUGCGUAGAUAUAGGAAGGAACACCAGUGGCGAAGGCGACCACCUGGGCUCAUACUGACACUGAGGUGCGAAAGCGUGGGGAGCAAACAGG
rnacentral:rRNA from 1 species